rnacentral:misc_RNA from 1 species
UUGACGUCGGCGAUUUCAGUAUCG